CUGGCUCAGAUUGAACGCUGGCGGCAGGCCUAACACAUGCAAGUCGAGCGGAUGACAGGAGCUUGCUCCUGAAUUCAGCGGCGGACGGGUGAGUAAUGCCUAGGAAUCUGCCUGGUAGUGGGGGACAACGUUUCGAAAGGAACGCUAAUACCGCAUACGUCCUACGGGAGAAAGCAGGGGACCUUCGGGCCUUGCGCUAUCAGAUGAGCCUAGGUCGGAUUAGCUAGUUGGUGAGGUAAUGGCUCACCAAGGCGACGAUCCGUAACUGGUCUGAGAGGAUGAUCAGUCACACUGGAACUGAGACACGGUCCAGACUCCUACGGGAGGCAGCAGUGGGGAAUAUUGGACAAUGGGCGAAAGCCUGAUCCAGCCAUGCCGCGUGUGUGAAGAAGGUCUUCGGAUUGUAAAGCACUUUAAGUUGGGAGGAAGGGCAUUAACCUAAUACGUUAGUG
rnacentral:rRNA from 1 species